rnacentral:rRNA from 1 species
AUUGAACGCUGGCGGCAUGCCUUACACAUGCAAGUCGAACGGUAACAGGUCUUCGGAUGCUGACGAGUGGCGAACGGGUGAGUAAUACAUCGGAACGUGCCCGGUCGUGGGGGAUAACGAAGCGAAAGCUUUGCUAAUACCGCAUAAGAUCUACGGAUGAAAGCAGGGGACCGCAAGGCCUUGCGCGAACGGAGCGGCCGAUGGCAGAUUAGGUAGUUGGUGGGAUAAAAGCUUACCAAGCCGACGAUCUGUAGCUGGUCUGAGAGGACGACCAGCCACACUGGGACGGAGACACGGCCCAGACUCCUACGGGAGUCAGCAGUGGGGAAUUUUGGACAAUGGGCGAAAGCCUGAUCCAGCCAUGCCGCGUGCAGGAUGAAGGCCUUCGGGUUGUAAACUGCUUUUGUACGGAACGAAAAGACUCUUUCUAAUAAAGAGGGUCCAUGACGGUACCGUAAGAAUAAGCACCGGCUAACUACGUGCCAGCCGCCGCAGUAACAC